CCUACGGGGAGCAGCAGUGAGGAAUAUUGGUCAAUGGGCGCGAGCCUGAACCAGCCAAGUAGCGUGAAGGAUGACUGCCCUACGGGUUGUAAACUUCUUUUAUAAAGGAAUAAAGUGAGGCACGUGUGCCUUUUUGUAUGUACUUUAUGAAUAAGGCUCGGCUAACUCCGUGCCAGCAUCCGCGGUAAUACGGAGGAUCCGAGCGUUAUCCGGAUUUGUUGGGUUUAAAGGGAACGUAGAUGGGUUGUUAAGUCAGUUGUGAAAGUUUGCGGCUUAACCGUAAAAUUGCAAUUGAUACUGGCAGCCUUGAGUACAGUUGAGGUAGGCGGAAUUCGUGGUGUAGCGGUGAAAUGCUUAGAUAUCACGAAGAACUCCGAUUGCGAAGGCAGCUUACUAAACUGCCACUGACAUUGAUGCUCGAAAGUGUGGGUAUCAAACAGGAUUAGAUACCCGAGUAGUC
rnacentral:rRNA from 1 species